CGUGAACACAUGAAGUUGAACUUGUGUUAAUUUGGGAGUAAUUAAAGCAAAUUAACCACGGACAUUAAUCGUUUAUCAUCAAUAAUUUAAUCGUUUAGCUGAUAAGGUUAAUUAAAAAAGGAAAUCACAUUUUCAGACUCGAUUAAAAAAAAACCUUUCCCUUUGUUCAUUUAACUCAAUCAAAAUUCGGUUUGUUCCAAUCAAAACAAAGAGGGUUGUGAAUAUUUCCUUUCCCUCUUUCUCACUUUUAUCUCUGUUUUCUCUCCCUAUCUCUUAGUAUAAAAUGUAUGAUACAAGUUUCCUUCCAACAUUGAACGUCUCAGCGUUAUUCAGAAAGACUUACUUACCAAGUAUGGACUAUCAAUUUAAUGAUUUGCAAGUUAAUCUUGUCAUCUCUUUCUACACACGUAAGUGUAAUCGACGAAUCAAUUGGGAAAUAGAUAUUCUUCCCACAUUCAAACGAUUCGCUGAUGAAGGGCAAGAUUGGAAUCUCCAAUCAGCUCGUAAUUUUUACGAUCUUGUAUCGAAAUCCUAUGGUCUAGCGGCUCGGGCUCUAAAUCAUCCUGAUUUGGAUGACUGGGAGGAAAAUAAGAGAUUGGAUCUCGCUCCUCCCGCUGGCCAACAAUAAGGAAUUCGCGGGUGAAGAUGAUAGUGACUUAUACCUCGAAGAAAGAGAAGAAGCCAUGAGAGUAACAGAAGCCGAGAAACGAAAACUUCAAAUGACAGUACCAGGAAUCAUCAAUCCUCAUGAACUACCUGAGGAAAUGCAAGAUUAGAACCAAGACUAAAUGAGAACCAAGCCUACACUGUUAGUUAUUUUUUGCUACAUUUUCAUCACCUUCUCUGUUCUAAUUUUGAACCUCAUCAUCUCUUCUCUCACCAUCAUCAUUAUCAUCAUCUCUUUAUAUCUCACAAUAUCUGUGUCUCUCUCUCUCUCUCUCUCUCUCUCUCUCUCUCUCUCUCUCUCUCUCUCUCUCUCUCUCUCUCUCUCUCUCUCUCUCUCUCUCUGUCAAGUGUCCAAUAGUUUCAAGAACA